CAUGUAGGUGUGGAAACGAUGCUCAUGGGGCAGUCGAGGUACUUGGAUGUCCUCGCAGAACUGUGCUUUGCCUGGAGUCGCGAGAAUGCAUGUGGUUUUGAGGCUGUUUUGGGUGGUUUAGUGAUGUUUUGUGAGGUUUUAAGGUUGUUUUGGGUGGUUUAACUUAUGUUUUGUGAGGUUUUGAGGUUGUUUUGGGUGGUUUAGUGAUGUUUUGUGAUGUUUUGAGGUUUUGGGUGGUUUAGUGAUGUUUUGUGAGGUUUUGAGGUUGUUUUGGGUGGUUUAGUGAUGUUUUGUGAGGUUUUAAGGUUGUUUUGGGUGGUUUAGUGAUGUUUUGUGAGGUUUUGAGGUUGUUUUGGGUGGUUUAUUUUGAGGUUGUUUUGGGUGGUUUAGUUGAUAUAUUUUGUUAGGUUUUGAGGUUGUUUUGGGGUGGUUUAGUGAUGUUUUGAGAGGUUUUAAGGUUGUUUUGGGUGGUUUAGUGAUGUUUUGUGAGGUUUUGAGGUUGUUUUGGGUGGUUUAGUGAUGUUUUGUGAGGUUUUGAGACUGUUUUGGGUGGUUUAGUGAUGUUUUGUGAGGUUUUGAAGUUGUUUUUUGGUGGUUUAGUUGAUAUGUUUGAUUUUGUUUUUCGUGAAGAAGAGAAGAAAACGAGGAAGAGGAAUUCAGAACAAAAAGAAGAUUUGUGAUGAGAAAAAGAAGAAAAAGGAAGUAAGAAAAAGACGUAUUAGUAUGAUAUGUGUUUUUUUCUUAUCUUCGUGUGUGUUGAUAUAUUAAUAGACCACAAAUGGAAGAGAAGAAAACAAUUAAGGAAAAGGAAUUCAGAGCAGUAAGUAAAAACGGAUAAAAGGAAAAUUUGAGAUGAGAAAAAGAAGAAAAGGAAGUAAUUAAGAAAAAGACGUAUUAGUAUUAUUAUUAUUUUUUUAAUCUUCAAAUGUGUAGAUAUUUUAAUCGGCCACCAAUGGAAGAGAAGAAAACAAGGAAGAGGAAGGAAAUAACAGAGAAAGUAAACCCAAUAAAAGGUCAAUAAGGAUAGAACAAAAGAAAAAUGGAAAAAAAGAAAAAAGGUCAGGACAACGAAGAAAAGAAGACAAGGAAUAAGGAAGGAUCGAGGGAAAACAAGAAAAAAGGAAGAAGGGAAAACAGAAUAAAACGAAGAGAAAACAAAGAUCGAAAAAGACGGAGGGAAAAUGGAGAAAAGAAAACAAGAAAGAGGAAAGAAAACCAUGAGGAGAAAGAAAAGAAAACAAGAAAAAGGAAAACCGGGAGGAGAAAGAAAAGAAAACAAGAAAGAGGAAAACCCGGGAGGCGAAAGAAAACAAAACUAAGAAAAGGGAAAGAAAACCAGGCGGAGAAAGAAAAGAAAACAAGAAAAAGGAAAAAAAAACAAGAGAAACUAAAGAAAACAAAAAAAAAGGAAAUAAA